GAUGACUUUAACAUUGACGAGGAUGAGAUGACCCAGAUGACUGCCAUAAAAACACAAAAGCCAGGAAGAUUAUGGUCGUUUGAAAAUUCCUAAAUUCCUUUGGAAAAGCGCAUCGCCAUUGCGCUAUACACUUUGGGCUCGUCCUCUGAGUACCGAACAGUUGGCAGGCUUUUCGGUGUAGCUCCAAACAUUGUGUGUAGUAUCCUGCACGAGUUUUGCAGAGCACUUAUCGACGAGUUUUCGAAGGAGUACACGUCGCCCAAUUACCUAACUUCCGACAAAAUUGAUGAGUGCGUAAAGGGAUUCGAGGCAAUUGGGUUUCCUCAGUGCCUAGGUGCAAUUGAUGGAUGCCACAUCGAAAUAAAACCACCAGCACCUGAGGCAGUAGACCACCAUAACUAUAAGGGCUGGUAUUCCACAGUCUUGUUUGCCCUAGUGGAUUAUAGAUACAGAUUUACAUAUGUAAAUAUCGGCUCUGCAGGAAGGUGCAAUGACUCGAUGAUAUACCAGAAGUCAAGCCGUGCAAAACAUAUCGAAGCAUCGGCAUUACUCCAAGAGAAAGCCAAGGAAAUAAGCGGAGUAAACGUCCCUGUAAUGCUUAUCGGGGACUCGGCAUUUAGGUUUUCUAAAAAGCUGAUGAAACCUUACCCGUUUUCCACAGUCGCCUCUUUGGAACAGCGCACGUUUAACUACAACCUUUCCAAAGCUAGGCGAGUGGUGGAAAAUGCAUUUGGGCAUUUAAAAGCCAGAUUUCGAAUAAUCGGAAAAGGUCUUGAUAGCCACCACAAAAAUAAUAGCGCCAUAAUAAUGAGCUGUUGUAUUUUACACAAUAUAUUAAAUAAGCACAACAGCGCGAUUAAUGAAAAUUGGGAGCUUGCAACAAAUGAGCAGCGCGAACAGCCCGAUACCAGCAACAGUUCUGCUGACUUUAAUCAGUCAGCAGAACAGAUACGAUCUGCAAUCGCAAAAUAUUGUGUAGACCGUAAUGAAAAUUAAAAACUUAUUUAUUUUUAUUUUUUAAAACUUCUAAUAAGUCGUUCUGGAAUUUUGUUUGGGUGCUGAUCAAGUCCUGCACCAUCUUUUCCUGCCUAACGUCGUGCUCCUCCUUCUUUCUGUGGUGGUCCUUUUGUUGUUCGAGACGCUCCUGGGCGAUCUCUGCCAGCCACGAAAUGUCGGUCUUUUUCUUUUUCUUUGGCGGACGCCCAGACAAGGUGCUGGAGCUACAAGAU